GGUCGCUUAGCUCAGUUGGUUAGAGGUACGGUUCACCAAUUCCCAAGUUUCAACCAAAUUGACAACUAACAUCGACACAGCGUGGUGCUAAUAGCAUAAGGCACUGCUAAACGCCAAGGUCGCGAGUUCGACCCUCGUAGUGACCA